UAAUUUCAUAAUGACUAAAUCAUGAUUCUAAUCACAGGCCAUGGUGAUAAUUAUAAUUAUGUAGUCGUAAUUGCUUUAAUGAUAAUCAUGGAAUCAUAUAAAAUCACCAUCAUGAUCAGUUCUCUUCAAGAUUGAUUGAUUAAGAUUAAUCAACAACAAAUUAGUAAAUUAGUUGCAUUAGCAGGGCAAUUAACAGCUACUAUAUUAGUUGAUAUGCGCUGGCUAAAGCUCACGCCCCUACGAAGGAGACGGCAAAUCGACGAAGAGUGCCUUCUACGAGACCGUGGAAUAAAACAUCGAAGCUUGCCCCAGGCAUGAUAUCAAAUUCAUACUUGGGGAUUUUAAAAGGUGUGAUGAUGUUUAUAACGGAAAGGAAGAACGCUGCAUAACGGGCAAUGCAGCAAUUUCAAACAACCCCGGCACAUGCAGAGACUUACCACGAAAUUUUGCCAACAAGUCAGCAGCAUCAGGCCAUAAAUAUCUCGAUGUUAUCCAGACAAAGAAGGACAUCUGAUUUCAAACCGUACGGGCAUAUGGAUUAUUUUGAUCAACUGCUCAAUACCCGGAAUAAUGGCGAGAUGGAGAUACCGUCAACUAGAGACGGUGGACAAAUACUGUCACCACCACGCCUGGAGGAAACGGUUUGAGCAAUUCAUCGGCUUAAGAAUCAUAAGCCGAUGGAAUUGCAGCUAAACUGAUUAAGUAUGGAGCCGACCAACUUAUACUAAAGGUUUGGGAUGACUGGCAACGAAACAUUAUAUGUCCCAUACUUACACUGGGAUACCACGCAGUGUAGCAAAUUAUAGAGAUAUUGCAUUGCGGAAUACCAUCUGUAACGAUGCUAACAACACGUAAGUUUUCAAUUUUAACCACCAGAGCGGCGUUUCCAAAACCGAGAAGUCUUUGGAAAAAUAUAUCUCCCUUCUUGAUUGUCAACCGAUAUGGUUUUACGUAUUAAAUCUCCUUAUUAAAUAAAUGAUUAAUUGUUGUAAUCAUCGUGUUUGAUUUUUAUAGAAAGUUUUCACGACAACUAUCUUCCCACUGGCGACUGAUAUAUCUAUAAAUGGUGACCCCGCCGAUGAACAAAUUAGAAUUGUAAAAUUGAGACUGCAUCCAUUUGUACAUUGCAUGUACAUUUCGCGAGAACUAUUAGUAACAGUGAUGUAGUAAGGCGCAUUCUACCUCUAAGGAUCAACUGCCUGUAAUAGCGAACCAAAGUUCGGACAACAAUCUGUUUCUAAAUGGCCUAUCUAUGUCCAACGCACAGCAAAUACGUGCCUCAGCUAGCCGUCUACGUACGGCAGAGUACCUCUCCAGAUUGGAGAAAAGUGUUGCAGUACUUACAGCUCUCGACAUCUAAAGUUUCACAACAUCGUUCUCCCAAUCGCAGUGGUAACUCGGAACUGUGCUACUAUCAUCGCAACUUCGGCGAAAAAGCACGGAAGCGUCGUUUCCCGUGUCGAAUUGCACAAACAAAAAUUUAAAAAAAAAAACCAACAAAACAACCUCCGUUUUCUGAUUACGGCUCAAUCAUCUCCGUAAUUCUUCGCAAAUGUAACUUGUUCCCGGAAAGCUCAACCUUAUUGACGCCAAUCAAACGGAGAUCAUCACAUAUGAGGAAAAACCGUUUGAAAUCAAUCUAGAACUUCGAAAAGCCUUCAAGUUGGCAUCUGUUAUCGGCAACAUCGACAUACCAAUUAUAGCCACCGAUUUUCUGGCGCAUUUCAAUCUUCUCGUGAAUAUCCCACUACGUAGAAUUCGAAGGCAGCACAUAUUUUCCGAAAAAUCAUCAGCAAGCAAGCGGUGAGUUAUCGAAUCAUCACUAACAGUCAUUGCUGAACGUGCCCGUCGAUUAUUUUCAUAAAAAUUGAAAGCAGCGAAGACCUUCCACGUUUAAUGGAUUAAACAUUUCGUGGUCUGGAUUUCGUAUUUUGUUACAAUGAUGAUAUCAUCAUCAUGUCGAAUUGAAGAACACAAGAAACACCGUCGAUUUUUACUACAAUAGCUUUAAGGUAAUUGUUUGUCUAUUAACGAGAGCAAAUGUGUCUUCGGUAAACUACUUGGGAUAUACCAUCAACAAAAAUGGCUCCAAACCACCGCAUGAACGAGUAGCGGCAAUUGUAGCAUAUCCAAAAUCAGAGACAAUUGUCGAACUAUGACGUUUUCUGCCGGUUACAUUCGAUCUUCUGGAUUAUAGCAAUAUCAGGAAGAAAACGACGAAUUAAAACGAUUGGAGCCAAAAAAAUUCAGACUUCGCUUGUCAUCAACAUCAAAUAGACUUGUAGAGCGCUGGCACAGAUCGAUGAAAGCCGCAUUAAUAUGCUAAAAUACAGCAUCGUGGGUCGACUUACUUCCCACUGUAAUCCUCGGAUUAAGGACAUACUUUAAAGAGGAUUUAAAAGCUUCGCAAUCCAAGCGAAUUUUAUGUGAACGAGGACAUGCCUGCGUUUCGCGACAAAGUCACUAGAGAAGGGGAGUAUGUAGCGGUGUAAGCAACAGAAAGUUGUCACUACAAAUAUCUUCGCACCGGCGAAUGAUAUCUCCAUGCAUCUGUGGCGACCAGAGACAUCUGUUGGCACAACGGGAUUCCCAGACAUACUUCGACGUUUUCCGACCUUCCCUCGUCCAGCGGUCCUACUACCGUCAUCGGCCAAGCCCAGACACGUCCUUCGAAUUAGGAUAUGGACCACAUUCUCUAUCAUCAUCAUCAGGCAACCUCUAUUAGAUAUCGCCCACGUUUCUCGCUUCUAACCUAACAAUUGACGACACAGCACGUGUCCCUAAAAUUAUUACUAUGUUUGAAAUUACCAACUUUUAAGGAGUCAUCCCGUGUGUCGGAUCCGAGGAAUCGAAUUUUUUUUGACAUCAAUUGUACCUAGAUAUAGUGUAAAAUAUAUGGGCAAAGUGAUUUUUUGA